GGGGAAUAUUGGACAAUGGGGGAAACCCUGAUCCAGCAAUGCCGCGUGAAUGAUGAAGGCCUUAGGGUUGUAAAGUUCUUUCACCUGUGAAGAUAAUGACGGUAGCAGGAGAAGAAGCCCCGGCUAACUCCGUGCCAGCAGCCGCGGUAAGACGGAGGGGGCUAGCGUUGUUCGGAAUGACUGGGCGUAAAGGGCGCGUAGGCGGUUUUUUAAGUGAGGCGUGAAAGCCCUGGGCUUAACCCAGGAGGUGCGUUUCAUACUGGAAGACUUGAGUACGAGAGAGGAAAGCGGAAUUCCUAGUGUAGAGGUGAAAUUCGUAGAUAUUAGGAAGAACACCAGUGGCGAAGGCGGCUUUCUGGCUCGUAACUGACGCUGAGGCGCGAAAGCGUGGGGAGCAAAC
rnacentral:rRNA from 1 species